AUUGAACGCUGGCGGCAGGCCUAACACAUGCAAGUCGAGCGGAUGAGAAGAGCUUGCUCUUCGAUUCAGCGGCGGACGGGUGAGUAAUGCCUAGGAAUCUGCCUGGUAGUGGGGGACAACGUCUCGAAAGGGACGCUAAUACCGCAUACGUCCUACGGGAGAAAGCAGGGGACCUUCGGGCCUUGCGCUAUCAGAUGAGCCUAGGUCGGAUUAGCUUGUUGGUGAGGUAAUGGCUCACCAAGGCGACGAUCCGUAACUGGUCUGAGAGAAUGUACGGUCACACUGGAAAUAAGACACGGUCCAGACUCCUACGGGAGACAGCAGUGGGGAAUAUUGGACAAUGGGCGAAAGCCUGAUCCAGCCAUGCCGCGUGUGUGAAGAAGGUCUUCGGAUUGUAAAGCACUUUAAGUUGGGAGGAAGGGCAAUCAGCGAAUACCUGGUUGUUUUGACGUUACCGACAGAAUAAGCACCGGCUAACUCUGUGCCAGCCGCCGCCGUAACAC
rnacentral:rRNA from 1 species